GGGAAUGUGGCUUAGUGGUAGGUAGAGUGCUUGCCUGGCAUGCAUGAAGCCAUGGGUUCGAUACCUCAGUACCA
rnacentral:tRNA from 1 species